CUUUAAAGCAAUUUACAUUUUAUAUAUAUAUAUUUGUGCAGGUGAAAAACGCCGCGGUCCCUAAACUCUGGAAUUGCCUCGCCAAAGAAGCAGGCGCUACCACGUGUCUCAGGCGCGCCUUACUUGAAUUUAUUACAGAAUUAAUUAAUUAAAGUAAUCGUUGGUGUUGGAGCAGGUGCCGCAUCAUUGACGUACUUCUCGACCGUGAGUUAAACGAAGUUGUUCAUGAAACCGUUAUUUAAAAAAAAAACCUUUUUUUAAGGAGCUUAUUAAUUGUUCAAAAGUCAUAGUCCUCCAAGGAUCGCACUUAAAGACUCAUCAUCAUAUCUUCACCACCACCCCCCUCCCCCCCCAUCUGGCUUGAGGUCUUCCCAUUGUUACACGGUCGACAUGUCCUUGAGGGACCUCUAAGUCUACCCCUUGAUCACCAGCCACUAAGCGCCGCUCCACUGCCGGUCUUGUUUACCUGUCCUCCUCAUCCCCCCCCCACACCACCCCUCCCUUUCCUCCACACCCCGCACACGGGCCGACGUUGGCCUGUGCCGUGGAUGCGUCGCCGGGACCCGUCACGUUUCCGUGCCGAGCAAAGCGGAGAUUUCGGAAGCUGUGAUGGCGCCGUGGUCCAUUGAGUCAUUCGGAUUCCAUCGUGGGAGCUGAACUCGCAACACCUCGCCACAGCACCUCCGUUGCUUUCCCCCCUCCGCUUUUCCCGACCAUCGAUGCUCUCUCGAGGUGUAUUCCCGUCACACCCCGAGCGACUUGUCCAAACUACCGCUGUUUCUGUCCAUCUCUUGUGCUGAGCCGUCCAGACUUUUCGCCAGUCUCCCCUAGGGCGCUUUCGUCGGUUAAUCUUGCUCUACAGGUGAUGUCCAAGAGUCUUAUUCGAGGUAGCAGCAUCCUCCUUAAAAGGGGAGUCUUGAGACUCGGUGAGGAAUUUCCUGGGUAAAUAAAAGGGGACAUCGGUUGGAUGGCAGUCGCACUUCAGACCUUUUUCUGGUCCAUGGGAGACCUAGAGUCCUAGACGAAUAGAAGAAGCCUACAGGUGCAUUGUCAUAAUCGUCAUCGGCCAUGGUCCAUCCACUGCUGUGGGGUGGAGGAUUCCCCAAGCCGUCGUCAUUUCUCACAGCGGUCUCGCGAAUCGGCAAUCCACAUCGUUACCUACUAUUGCUGCCACUCCAUCGUUGGUCUUGACCACUGGCCCGCCGUACCUUCAGGCGUCGGGUCCUGCCCAAGUCCACUCACUCACUCUCUCCGUGUUUGUUUACAGUUGAUGUGGUGUCCUCCCAACUUGUGCGUUCUUCAAGACACACGUUGUUCUUCCCGUCUCUCGCUGUAAUUCCCAGCAUGCACUUCUCAACGCAUCUCUGUGCACUUUUCAGAUUUUGUUCCGGUUAUUUUUGUUGUCGGGCAUGCAAAGGAAGAAAAAAACAUGAAUGUGGGAGGAAAAAUAUAUAAAAAUGAUAAAAUCUACAAAUAUUUAAUAUAUUAACUUGAUUACAAAAUAAAGGUUUAUUAUUUAAAAGCAGUGGCUCAGGAGUGUGAUCCAGUGCUUUAUUGGCAAGAGUUGGUCGAUCACCUAGGGCUUUGUGAAGCUACCGAUCCCAUUGGGGCUGGGAUUUGGCCAGGAGGUGGCUGUAAGGUCGGUGGGUUUGUGAACCAUUUCGUGCGUAUCUCGGCAUGUUAUUCCGUCAUAAGGUCGGUGGGUUUGUGAACCAUUUCGUGCGGAUCUCGGCAUGUUAUUCCCUCAUAAGAUCGGUGGGUUUGUGAACCAAUUCGUGCGUAUCUCGGCAUGUUAUUCCGUCAUAAGGUCGGUGGGUUUGUGAACCAAUUCGUGCGUAUCUCGGCAUGUUAAUCCGUCAUAAGGUCGGUGGGUUUGUGAACCAAUUCGUGCGAAUCUCGGCAUGUUAUUCCGUCAUAAGGUCGGUGGGUUUGUGAACCAAUUCCUGCCUAUCUCGCCAUGUUAUUCCGUCAUAAGGUCGGUGGGUUUGUGAACCAAUUCGUGCGUAUCUCGGCAUGUUAUUCCAUCAUAAGGUUGGUGGGUAUUCUCCGGGUUCUUCUCUUUUCCUCCCACACGAUGCUAAACGCUCCUUAAAGCGGAAUUGGCCAAACAUCCCAAUGUAGCAGGACUCUCCUGAAAAAGAGCCUUGUGAUUCAGUGAGGCUUUUCUAUGGUAAGUAAAUGGCCUGUAUUAUUUAAUGAGCACAAAAGUGUAAUUUCUGAAAGUAAAGAUGAAAAAAAUUGAAUAGUUCUUCAGACAAAGUAGGUUGAUUAAAAUGUUUUUUUUUAGAUUAUAGUUCAUUGGCCAACUACUGCUGGAUUAAAGCCUCCCCAUCCUGUCAGUCAUGGUGGUUGUUUGCCCAUACUUCACCACGCUGGUCAGCGUGGGAUGGCGAAGGUGGUAGUGGCUCAGGACCCGUUCAGAUUUGACGUGGUACUGAAAUUAGUCGUGGCCAGGAAUCGAACUCAGGGUUCUUAGCACAGUGCACUAACUACUGCACUACCACCAGUCAAAGUGGCAAAAAAUGGUUGAAUGUUUACAUUUGUACAGCUUAAGUUAAGCAACGAAAACAUUUUUGGACCAACAUUUGCCGUGGGCUUUUUGGAAGACAUUUUUUUUAAUCGCUGUUCAAUGAAUGGAAUGUGUGACUUUAAAUAAAAAAAACUCUGGGAAUGAAGGGACAGAUAUUUUGCUAUGUUAAACCGUGCCAAUGUUUACAUGCUCGCAUAAAAAAAUAAAGGUGUCAAAGUCUUAACCCA